rnacentral:rRNA from 1 species
UGGGGAAUAUUGGACAAUGGGGCAACCCUGAUCCAGCAAUGCCGCGUGUGUGAAGAAGGUUUUCGGAUUGUAAAGCACUUUCGACGGGACGAUGAUGACGGUACCCGUAGAAGAAGCCCCGGCUAACUUCGUGCCAG